AUAAGCAUCUAAAACUGCAAAACAUUGUCCAUUUAACCAAUUCUCUAUCUUUAAUAAUAAGAAAGUUACCCAUGCAAUCCCACCCGAUCUGGGACACACUGUAUAACCAUUGGAAAUUGCAUUGAAACCAGUUGAAUAUUAUCGGUUGUAAUCUCGCUAUCUACAACGAUAAACAAGUCACACACUAUGCCUUCUUGCCACCGCACCCAUGGGAUGAUUUGGAGAAGAGCCGGUCCUCCCAGAUAUGGAUACGACUUGCUACAACCACCAUCACAUUGGUUCACCGUCUCGUUGCGCGCUGUAAAAUGUAUAAUUUAUAAUGUUGUAAAUAAAUAUGUUGAGAAUGUU